GCCUGGGUGGCUCAGUCGGUUGAGCAUCUGACUUCAGCUCAGGUCACGAUCUCGCGAUCUGUGAGUUCGAGCCCCGCGUCGGGCU
rfam:Felis catus isolate Cinnamon breed Abyssinian chromosome D1, whole genome shotgun sequence.